rnacentral:rRNA from 1 species
GAUGAACGCUGACAGAAUGCUUAACACAUGCAAGUCAACUUGAACUUCGGUUUGGGUGGCGGACGGGUGAAUAACGCGUAAAGAACUUGCCUCACAGUUAGGGACAACAUUUGGAAACGAAUGCUAAUACCUAAUAUUAUGAUUUUAGGGCAUCCUAGAAUUAUGAAAGCUAUAUGCGCUGUGAGAGAGCUUUGCGUCCCAUUAGCUAGUUGGAGAGGUAACGGCCCACCAAGGCGAUGAUGGGUAGCCGGCCUGAGAGGGUGAUCGGCCACAAGGGGACUGAGACACGGCCCUUACUCCUACGGGAGGCAGCAGUGGGGAAUAUUGGACAAUGGACCAAGAGUCUGAUCCAGCAAUUCUGUGUGCACGAUGAAGUUUUUCGGAAUGUAAAGUGCUUUCAGUUGGGAAGAAAAAAAUGACGGUACCAACAGAAGAAGUGACGGCUAAAUACGUGCCAGCGGCCGCGGUAAUACGUAUGUCACAAGCGUUAUCCGGAUUUAUUGGGCGUAAAGCGCGUCUAGGUGGUUAUAUAAGUCUGAUGUGAAAAUGCAGGGCUCAACUCUGUAUUGCGUUGGAAACUGUGUAACUAGAGUACUGGAGAGGUAAGCGGAACUACAAGUGUAGAGGUGAAAUUCGUAGAUAUUUGUAGGAAUGCCGAUGGGGAAGCCAGCUUACUGGACAGAUACUGACGCUGAAGCGCGAAAGCGUGGGUAGCAAACAGG